CUUGUAUGCUAGGCCAUAGCAGAAGUACUCCUGGCAGGACCCUGUCAGAUUCCAAUGAAUCUGUGAAUUCUGCU
rnacentral:ribozyme from 1 species